rnacentral:rRNA from 1 species
CCGACGGUGAGGGGCGAAAGCUGGGGGAGCAAACCGGAUUAGAUACCCGGGUAGUCCCAGCCGUAAACGAUGUGCGUUAGGUGUAUCGGUGACCACGAGUCACCGAGGUGCCGAAGAGAAAUCGUGAAACGUACCGCCUGGGAAGUACGGUCGCAAGGCUGAAACUUAAAGGAAUUGGCGGGGGAGCACCACAACAGGUGGAGCCUGCGGUUUAAUCGGACUCAACGCCGGAAAACUCACCAGAUAAGACAGCUGAAUGAUAGUCGGGCUGAAGACUCUACUUGACUAGCUGAGAGGAGGUGCAUGGCCGUCGUCAGUUCGUACUGUGAAGCAUCCUGUUAAGUCAGGCAACGAGCGAGACCCACGCCAACAGUUGCU